GACGAACGCUGGCGGCGUGCUUAACACAUGCCAGUCGAACGGAAAGACCCUGCUUUUGUGGGGUGCUCGAGUGGCGAACGGGUGCGUAACACGUGAGUAACCUGCCCUUGACUUUGGGAUAACUUCAGGAAACUGGGGCUAAUACCGGAUAGGAGCCCCUGUUGCAUGGUGGGCGUUGGAACGUUUCGGCGGUUGGGGAUGGACUGGCGGCUUAUCAGCUUGUUGGUGGGGUAGUGGCUUACCAAGGCUUUGACGGGUAGCCGGCCUGGGAGGGUGACCGGCCACAUUGGGACUGAGAGACGGCCCAGACUCCUACGGGAGGCAGCAGUGGGGAAUAUUGCACAAUGGGCGGAAGCCUGAUGCAGCGACGCCGCGUGCGGGAUGACGGCCUUCGGGUUGUAAACCGCUUUCGCCUGUGACGAAGCGUGAGUGACGGUAAUGGGUAAAGAAGCACCGGCUAACUACGUG
rnacentral:rRNA from 1 species